UACGGUAGGGUGCAAGCGUUAAUCGGAAUUACUGGGCGUAAAGCGUGCGCAGGCGGUUGUGCAAGACCGAUGUGAAAUCCCCGGGCUCAACCUGGGAAUGGCAUUGGUGACUGCACGGCUAGAGUGUGUCAGAGGGGGGUAGAAUUCCACGUGUAGCAGUGAAAAUGCGUAGAGAUGUGGAGGAAUACCGAUGGCGAAGGCAGCCCCCCUGGGAUAACACUGACGCUCAUGCACGAAAGCGUGGGGAGCAAACAGG
rnacentral:rRNA from 1 species